AAGUCGUAACAAGGUUUCCGUAGGUGAACCUGCGGAAGGAUCAUUAACAAAUCCAAGACGCGAGCUGGGGAACCAGUAUAGCAACUGCGAGGACGCACAAUGCAGAGCAGGGCACAAAGUGCCGAGACACGAAAGAUGUUGACAAGAGAGACAAAAGGGACAAACUUUUAACAAUGGAUCUCUAGGCUCUU
rnacentral:misc_RNA from 1 species